rnacentral:rRNA from 1 species
UACAGAGGUCCCAAGCGUUGUUCGGAUUCACUGGGCGUAAAGGGUGCGUAGGUGGUCGGGUAAGUCUGAUGUGAAAUCUCCAAGCUUAACUUGGAAAUGGCAUUGGAUACUAUUCGGCUAGAGGGUUUGAGGGGGGACUGGAAUACUUGGUGUAGCAGUGAAAUGCGUAGAUAUCAAGUGGAACACCAGUGGCGAAGGCGAGUCUCUGGACAGUUCCUGACGCUGAGGCACGAAGGCCAGGGGAGCAAACGGG